CGUGAACCAGUUACCUCCAACGUGGGGUGGCUGAAGGUCAAGUGUACGUCGUGGUCUAAAAUAAGCUGCCGUUGUUUGUGCUUGAACUGCACGCGUAAAAACGCGCAAGUUGUUAUACAGAUCUCCAAACAAGUUGUAACAAGGUUGUUGUCAAGCCGAUAUCAGGAUGUGUUCGCACUGCUUGUUCCCAGUUGUUGUGACAAGUCUGGAACAAGUUGUUAUCAUCUUGUUACAAGGUUGAUGACUGUAACAGACUUGCUACAAGUUGUUCCAACAAGACUAAUACAGGCUGUUCGUAACAAGUUGCUACGAGCUUGCUAUCAUCAACUUGUUAACAACUUGUUAUGUGCAGACGAUAUUAGACUUGUUGGAACAACUUGUUGCGAGUCUGUUGGCCUCAUCAACCUUGUUACAAGAUGAUAACAACUUGUUCCAGACUUGUCAACAACUGGGAACAAGCAAUGCGAACACGUCUUGUUGACAAGCUGUGAGACUUUU